GACGAUGACUAAUGACAUGGCAACAACUGACGAGAAAGCGAUUGAGAGGUGGGAAAAUGAGGGCGGCAAGUUGGCGUUGUCAUAGGAGAUAACAUGGAAACCAUAGAGCUUGUACAAGAAACAGCAUUAUCGAACAACA
rnacentral:misc_RNA from 1 species